rnacentral:misc_RNA from 1 species
GCAGCCACAAUGAGAGCUGUGCAAAUGAACGCCAUGAAUGAGAAAGCUGUGUAUCAAAAGUGCCUAGAGGAUCUGCAGAAAUUGGAAGAAUUGGAUGAUACUGAGUUUACAAAGGCUGUUAAUGUUCUUAAAGAUGAUAAGAAUGCAAUUGCAUUCAUGACAAUCAAAGGGCCUCGACGCUUGAUGUGGCUGAGGUCUCUAUGGCAAGUCUAG